UAAUACGUAGGAGGCGAGCGUUAUCCGGAUUUAUUGGGCGUAAAGAGGACGCGGGCGGCUCUUCAAGUCGGAUGUAAAAUCUCCCAGCUCAAUCGGGAGGGAUCAUCUGAUACUGUUGGGCUAGAGGGCAGCAGAGGGAGGUGGAAUUCCCGGUGUAGUGGUGAAAUGCGUAGACAUCGGGAGGAACACCAGUGGCGAAGGCGGCCUCCUGGGCUGUUGCUGACGCUGAGGUCCAAAAGCGUGGGGAGCAAACAGGAUUAGAUACCCUGGUAGUCCACGCCAUAAACCAUGGACACUAGGUAUGGGGAGUAUCGACCCUCUUCGUGCCGAAGCUAACGCUUUAAGUGUCCCGCCUGGGGAGUACGGCCGCAAGGCUA
rnacentral:rRNA from 1 species